UACAGAGGUCUCGAGCGUUAGGCGGAAUCACUGGGCUUAAAGCGUGUGUAGGCGGAUCGUUAAGUACCUUGUGAAAUCCCACGGCUUAACCGUGGAACUGCUUGGUAUACUGGCGGUCUUGAGCCAGCUAGGGGCUACCGGAACAAAUGGUGGAGCGGUGAAAUGCGUAGAUAUCAUUUGGAACGCCAAUGGUGAAAACAGGUAGCUGGGGCUGUGGCUGACGGCUGGAGACACGAAAGCCAGGGGAGCAAACGGGG
rnacentral:rRNA from 1 species